UGAUGGAGUAAGCUGAAGUGUGAGGGAUUGCUUCUCACUUUGUACGCGAGUAAAUCUCCACUUUAUCAGGCGCUGUCAGGCAGGCGCUUUCUCACAAGAUUGAAACAGCCAAGCGGUGCAGCUCCUUGCGUGUAGUUCGCGGAUAAACGGAUUUUCCCUCACUACAGGACUGAAUUGACUUGCGAUUACUAGGGAGGGAGGGACAGACAGACAGAUAGAAAAACCGAGAGGUUCAUAUUGUGCGCAAAGUGCGACGACAUUCCCAUCUCUGCUGCGUGCUGCUGAAAUGAAAAAGAGGUGAUGGAAAGCAAACUGAAAUCUUCCUCCAUAUCACAAACUGAUUAGAGAAGCCACACCAUUGUAGCUGCUGGCACAAUGUACCAUUGUGGAUAAGCUGUCGCCGCCCUGAGCUGAAGGCGACCUGUCGGCUGGGCCAGGGGCUGCAACACAGGACAUGGGUCCCGCUUGUCCUCCCCGCUCGUGUCUUGUGUUGCAGCCAGUGGUCUCGCCUCUCUGCCUCUCUUCACACCGCUGAUGGACUGAGCUCCCACAACAGAUCCCGACUGCAGACCCUGCUCCUCACUCUACAGCGCUUGUUCCCAUAUCACUGGGAAGUGUAAUUUUCCAAAUCAACAUAUUUUGUCUUACAGUUAGAAAAUAAAGCACUUCAAA